GACUCUCGGCAACGGAUAUCUCGGCUCUCGCAUCGAUGAAGAACGUAGCGAAAUGCGAUACUUGGUGUGAAUUGCAGAAUCCCGUGAACCAUCGAGUCUUUGAACGCAAGUUGCGCCCGAAGCCUUUUGGCCGAGGGCACGUCUGCCUGGGUGUCACGCA
rnacentral:rRNA from 3 species